rnacentral:rRNA from 1 species
GAUGAACGCUGGCGGCGUGCCUAAUACAUGCAUGUCGAGCGAACAGACGAGGAGCUUGCUCCUCUGACGUUAGCGGCGGACGGGUGAGUAACACGUGGAUAACCUACCUAUAAGACUGGGAUAACUUCGGGAAACCGGAGCUAAUACCGGAUAAUAUAUUGAACCGCAUGGUUCAAUAGUGAAAGACGGUUUUGCUGUCACUUAUAGAUGGAUCCGCGCCGCAUUAGCUAGUUGGUAAGGUAACGGCUUACCAAGGCGACGAUGCGUAGCCGGCCUGAGAGGGUGAUCGGCCACACUGGAACUGAGACACGGUCCAGACUCCUACGGGAGGCAGCAGUAGGGAAUCUUCCGCAAUGGGCGAAAGCCUGACGGAGCAACGCCGCGUGAGUGAUGAAGGUCUUCGGAUCGUAAAACUCUGUUAUUAGGGAAGAACAAAUGUGUAAGUAACUAUGCACGUCUUGACGGUACCUAAUCAGAAAGCCACGGCUAACUACGUG